CCUGGACUGAGCUUGAGGCUGCUCUGGCUGCUUGUCUUUGCAUUUCCCAGAGGAUUGUUUCCUAGAGUCUUCACUAAAUGAUUCAAAUGACUCUUCAAUGAAUUCCCAACUGAAAUCUUCUUCCCAAAAGUCCCUGAAUUCGCCACCACCUGUAUGUCUCAAUCUGUGGGCACUGCUCCAUGCAGAAGACACCAAGUAAGACGCAGUCAAGCAAAUACAAGCAAAAGACCAAGCAUUUCAGCCGUCAGCCCACGGGACCCAGACAUCUUCAGUUUGGAAGGCAAAAAAAAAAAAAAAAUCCUCACAGCUUCCCCACUGCAGCUUCAAUGGCAGAUUUAACGGUAAUGUUUUCUAAUCAAGUUACCCCACGUUCUCCUUCCAAGACUUUUUCUUUGUAACUCAUCCAACACGAUGCUGGCAGGCUUUGUUUAAUCAGAGUCUGGGUCUAAGGCAUUACAGAUGCUCAAAAAAAAAAAAUUUCUUACAGGAAUGAAAUCAUCGAUGUGGUGGGAAACACAUCAAAAAGUUGAGCCAGACACAGGCGAGUCAGAGAUUUCCUUAAGGCCAGUGAGAAAGCUAGCAACCAGGACACUGGGCCAUGCCUGUGUUCCCUGUAAACUUGAUUCAAGCACUUUGGAAAUCAAUACUACACGUUACUGAAACAUAUAAGGUGGGUAGUAAACUGACAAGCAGAAGAGGGAACAGUGAGAAGGCAGUGUUUGGAGGGCCCAGAGGAACUGAAUUACCUGGGGUUGGAACCAGACUUCCUUGGAAAAGAAGAAGCAGCAUCAAAUGGCCAAGGUCGCCCUCCUCGUGGUGGGCAGUCUUCAGUCUCCAGUGGGAGACGUAUUGGGAAACAAAGCCGGGAAGUACACAGAGGUCAGCUGUGGAAGGCACCGCUGGGCUCAGUACAGUGGAGACCAGAAAGGAGAGUCAGACAUGAUCCUUGCGGAUGAAAGAAGCAGUUCAAUGUUAACACAAAGGACAAAGCCCCAGAAGGAGAAACAGAAAGGGGAAUCAACUAUUC